GAGAGUUCAUUUCCAUCGUGGCGAUUGCUGGAAGAAGACAACGGGACGUCGUCGAACACGGACGAACGGGCCUGACCCUUCGCUGCCUGUGGAAAACAUGCGACCUGCGAGCGUCACCUGGUGCCGGAUGAAAUCACAUGGAGGCCACAAGAUACCAUAUCAAGCAAAUUGUUGAGUAUCGAAUGGCCAAGUAUCGAGUGAAAAUUCAACACUGACUCACUUCACCGGGAAACGCUCUGAAAAUAAUUUAAAAAGUCCUUUCAACCAUUGCUGCUCUGUACACUGACCCCUUCACCAGGAAUCGCUCUGAAAAUAAUUUAAAAAGUCCUUUCAAAUACUGCUGCUCUGUACACUGACCCCUUCACCAGGAAUCGCUCUGAAAAUAAUUUAAAAAGUCCUUUCAACUACUGCUGUUCUGCACACUGACCCC